AGAUGGGAUGGGGAUAGGGCAGAAAUGGGGACUGAAACGGGGAUGGGGAUGGUUGCCCCCAUGGGAUGUGCAGUGGAAAACAAAAAAAGCAGCUCCAUGCUGCCUGCCCAUCUGUCAAGGCCCCACAUCCCAGGGGACACAGUGGGAGGGUGGCUGGGGCGAGGCAGCCCCCAGGAUCCCAUUCCCCUGUUUUUACCGAGGACCAGAAAGGGGUAUCUCCUCUGUGCUGGUGUCUGUAGGGCUGGUGGGGACACACAGGCUUAGGGUCAGGGCUGCAGGGAGCUCAGGCUCUGCUCUGCAGAUCGUGUGCAAGGAAGGGAGGAAAGGUCUGUCAGGACAAAGGGCAGGUGGGGAGCGUGGUACCCCAGCAGGAUCCGCUCUGCCAGCCCUGCUGAGGGGCAGAAACCAGCAGGGCAGGAACCCACACGCAGCACGAGACGUGGGUUUGCCAGAGCUGGUGCUGCUGCAGCCCCUCCAACCACAGAAAGCACCGUGCUGUUGCUGGGCCAGGCACCCACGCAGUGCUGAUUGGCCUCAGCUGAGCUGACAUCACUGCUCCCGUCCCAGUGGCAAACCCCGGGCAGGAAGCACCUGGAGGAGUCUGACCCCACGCCAUGUACUGGGGAGGGUGGAGGCUGGGUUUCACUUCUGCUGACGUUGCUUUUCUGACAGCCCCAACCCAGCAGGAAGGACAGGUGGGGCAGAGCAAAGGGCACCGGGCAGCACUCCGGCCCAGGACACGUCGGGGAUGAAUGCUGGUUUAUGCAACGUGCCAAUCGCUGAUGGCAGGGGGCACCGACCGACCUGGGCUCCUUGAAUCAGACGCUUCCAGCAGAAACAUCCAAAAUAAAAUAAAAGUAAAAAUCCCAGCAGAAAGCUUGACAGAAAGAGUGUCCAAAUGGCAUCAGGAGGUGGGGAAUGGUGGCUGUG
ensembl:lncRNA